UAACGCGUGAGGAACCUGCCUUUCGGAGGGGGAACAACAGUUGGAAACGACUGCUAAUACCGCAUGAUACAUUUGGAUCGCAUGGUCUGAAUGUCAAAGAUUUAUCGCCGAAAGAUGGCCUCGCGUCUGAUUAGCUAGUUGGUGAGGUAAUGGCCCACCAAGGCGACGAUCAGUAGCCGGACUGAGAGGUUGGCCGGCCACAUUGGGACUGAGAUACGGCCCAGACUCCUACGGAAGGCAGCAG
rnacentral:rRNA from 1 species